rnacentral:rRNA from 1 species
GCGUGAACGUAAGGUCACCACCGCGAGGGGAGCCAAUCCCAUAAAGCCAGUCGUAGUCCGGAUCGUAGUCUGCAACUCGACUACGUGAAGUCGGAAUCGCUAGUAAUCGUGGAUCAGAAUGUCACGGUGAAUACGUUCCCGGGUCUU